rnacentral:rRNA from 1 species
GGAUUCGNAUGGGGGAACCCUGACGCAGCAACNCCGCGUGGAUNAUGAAGACCCUUGGGUUGUCNAAUCCUUUCGGCAGGGACGAAUUAAUUGACGGUACCUGAAGAAGAAGCCCCGGCUAACUCCGUGCCAGCAGCCGCGGUAAUACGGGGGGGGCGAGCGUUGUUCGGAAUUAUUGGGCGUAAAGGGCGCGUAGGCGGUGUGGUAAGUCUGUUGUGAAACCUCCAGGCUCAACUUGGAGCUUGCAUCAGAAACUGCCGUGCUAGAGUGUGGGAGAGGAGAGUGGAAUUCCUGGUGUAGCGGUGAAAUGCGUAGAUAUCAGGAGGAACACCGGUGGCGAAAGCGGCUCUCUGGACCACAACUGACGCUGAGGCGCGAAAGCUAGGGGAGCAAACAGGAUUAGAUACCCUGGUAGUCCUAGCCUUAAACGAUGAACACUUGGUAUAGCGGGUAUCGAAUCCCGCUGUGCCGGAGCUAACGCAUUAAGUGUUCCGCCUGGGGAGUACGGUCGCAAGGCUGAAACUCAAAAAAAUUGACGGA